AGGAUCUUCUGGGACAGUAGCUGAGACAGAAGAGCUUGUUCCUCUUCUUGAAUUUUACUUGAUUGCUUUCAUGCAGAACUAAUUGCCAUGUUUUCACAGGUUGAAAUACCACUUCUCUACAAACUGUGCACGGGAACAGAAGGCUGAGCUGUUGCACUGGGUGCACCUGGAGCAAUCUCCUUGUCUUUCUCUGGACCCCUGAGCAUCCUCAUUUGUGUUCUUCCCAUUGAUCCCCCUGCCCCAGCUGGGGGAAGGUGAGCCAGGAGCUGGGGGGAGUUUGCUCAUCAGCCAAGGCUGACCCACCACAGUUCUGGAAAAUUCCACGUCAAAACUGCAGCCCAAACUAGUCUCUGAAAGGAGAAGGGAGGAAUCAAGGCCAUACAAACCAGACCCAGGAUCACACACUGUCAGUUUUAUACA